rnacentral:lncRNA from 1 species
GGGCUGAUUUACACCAGUCAAAACUAAAUUUGAAGGUCAAGACUAGUCGAGAAUGUUAAAAUGAUUGUCAAAAACAUUUAUAUCACAAUAAAUAUUGUUGCUUUACGUUAUUUAAGGUACAGAUUGUGUUUUUAUUCACUCAAUAUAUUCAUGAUAUUCAUGGGACACAUACUUUUUUAAUGAAUAGAGGUCAUGGGACAUAACUUUUUUUCCUAUCACAUCAGCAUGGGACAAUACUUUUUU